GUCGAGCGGACAGAUGGGAGCUUGCUCCCUGAUGUUAGCGGCGGACGGGUGAGUAACACGUGGGUAACCUGCCUGUAAGACUGGGAUAACUCCGGGAAACCGGGGCUAAUACCGGAUGGUUGUCUGAACCGCAUGGUUCAGACAUAAAAGGUGGCUUCGGCUACCACUUACAGAUGGACCCGCGGCGCAUUAGCUAGUUGGUGAGGUAACGGCUCACCAAGGCGACGAUGCGUAGCCGACCUGAGAGGGUGAUCGGCCACACUGGGACUGAGACACGGCCCAGACUCCUACGGGAGGCAGCAGUAGGGAAUCUUCCGCAAUGGACGAAAGUCUGACGGAGCAACGCCGCGUGAGUGAUGAAGGUUUUCGGAUCGUAAAGCUCUGUUGUUAGGGAAGAACAAGUGCCGUUCAAAUAGGGCGGCACCUUGACGGUACCUAACCAGAAAGCCACGGCUAACUACGUGCCAGCAGCCGCGGUAAUACGUAGGUGGCAAGCGUUGUCCGGAAUUAUUGGGCGUAAAGGGCUCGCAGGCGGUUUCUUAAGUCUGAUGUGAAAGCCCCCGGCUCAACCGGGGAGGGUCAUUGGAAACUGGGGAACUUGAGUGCAGAAGAGGAGAGUGGAAUUCCACGUGUAGCGGUGAAAUGCGUAGAGAUGUGGAGGAACACCAGUGGCGAAGGCGACUCUCUGGUCUGUAACUGACGCUGAGGAGCGAAAGCGUGGGGAGCGAACAGGAUUAGAUACCCUGGGUAGUCCACGCCGUAAACGAUGAGUGCUAAGUGUUAGGGGGUUUCCGCCCCUUAGUGCUGCAGCUAACGCAUUAAGCACUCCGCCUGGGGAGUACGGUCGCAAGACUGAAACUCAAAGGAAAUUGACGGGGGCCCGCACAAGCGGUGUAGCAUGUGGUUUAAUUUCGAAAGCAGCGCGAAGAACAUUACCAGGUCGUGGACAUCGUCUGACAAUCCUAGAGAUAGGACGUCCCCUUUCCGGCGGCC
rnacentral:rRNA from 1 species